rnacentral:rRNA from 1 species
CAAUAAGCGGAGGAAAAGAAACCAACAGGGAUUGCCCUAGUAACGGCGAAGUGAAGCCGGCCAACAGCUCAAAUUUUGAAAUCUGGCUCUCGGGCCCGAGUUGUAAUUUGUAGAAGGAUACUUUUGAUGCGGUGCCUUCCGAGUUCCCUGGAACGGGGACGCCAUAGAGGGUGAGAAGCCCCGGUCUGGUUGGAUGCCAAAUCUCUGGUAAAGUUCCUUCGACGAAGUUCGAGGUAGUUUUGGGGAAUGGCUGGCUCUAAAUGGGGAGGGGUAUUAUUGUUCUUUCCUAAAAGGCCUAAAAAUAACCCGGGGCCCAGAAAGAACCCGAAUUAGGCCGCCCCCCAAGGUUAAGGAAGGUUGAAUCCGAAAAAAGAAUGGGAAAAAAAAGGCCACCCUUUUGGAAAAAAAAGAAGGAAGGUUUAAAAAAAAAAGGUUAACCCGGUUGGAAAAAAUUUGGUGUUUGGAAAAAAAGGGGGGGAAAAAGCCNCGGGUUUUUAAUAUUGGAAAACCCCCAAAGGAAACACGUUUUGGGGGGGGGGGCGCCCUUUUGGGGGGGGGGUGUUUUA